rnacentral:rRNA from 1 species
CCUACGGGUGGCAGCAGUGGGGGAUAUUGCACAAUGGGGGAAACCCUGAUGCAGCGACGCCGCGUGGGUGAAGAAGCGCCUCGGCGCGUAAAGCCCUGUCAGCAGGGAAGAAAAUGACGGUACCUGAAGAAGAAGCCCCGGCUAAAUACGUGCCAGCAGCCGCGGUAAUACGAAGGGGGCAAGCGUGGUUCGGAAUUACUGGGCGUAAAGGGAGUGUAGGCGGUUUAGUAAGAUAGUGGUGAAAUCCCAGAGCUUAACUUUGGAAUUGCCAUUAUAACUAUUAGACUAGAAUUACAGGGAGGAUAGUGGAAUACGCAGUGUAGAGGUGAAAUUCGUAGAUAUUGGGUAGAACACCAGUGGCGAAGGCGACUAGCUGGCUGUACAUUGACGCUGAGGCUCGAAAGCAUGGGGAUCAAACAGGAUUAGAUACCCCUGUAGUC